CUGCCUCGAAUUAAAAAUCGGACUAUACAUUCAAUUUUGUAGACUCAAAAUAAAAUAUAAAUAAAUAAAAUCCUUUUCUUUUCAGCAACAAACACAAGAAAAUGUCAAAAACCGCACAAACGGAAAUAGAAAGGCGACUAUCAACCAUGGAUGAGGUGGAAGAAGACGACUCCUCAGUCAAGAACGACCACGCAAGGCGCAAAGAUUCAUGGAGCGGUCUCAAAAAAUGCGACUCUAGGAAAGGCAGCAGUUCCGCUGAAACUUCGGUCUAAAUUAUAUGCCAAUUAUAGAUAACCUGUCCUGUGUUUAGUUGAUAAGGAAAUAGGCACAAAGUGACUUAGAUGUAUUUCUUAUUUGAUUUUACUGUUGCUGCGUAUUAAUGGACUUUUUGUUAAUGAUAGCUUUAUAAAAAAUUGAUUUAAUUUUCUGUGUGUUUGGCAACAACUUAGGAACGGGUUAGAGAUAAAGGACGAUGCCUUUGUAAGCACGAUGCUUUGAAUUCGUACGGCGGUAAUCGCCUGGUGACAUCGUAGGUUAUUGGUUGUAAACGACCUUGCCUUUGAAAUAAAACACUGUCUUUAACAAAAAUAUUCAAAACUACAUUAUAAAUGUUGCAAAGAAAAAAAUACCAUAUUCCUUUUUUAUAUUGGGUCAAUUUCGAGUUCUAUAUUGAAUUGUUUUCAGAGUUUGCUUAGCGUAUUUGACAUAACUGUAGUUUUUAGAUACAGCCAGCCAUUAAUGUGUAAUUCCAGCAAGUAGAAUAAUUAGUAGUACCUAACUUGAGUAGAAAUCUGUAACAUAAGGACUAAGUGGAAUUAGACUAUUAAAUGUACUUAGAUUUCUGUUUAUAAUCCUGUUAUUAUUGAACCUUACAAUAUAAUUAAACUUUUUGUUGUCUGUAACUGGUUAUAACUCUUAACACUAUUAUAGAUCGUGUCAUGGAAAUUUUUGAUGAUAUAUUAUAGAAAACACUGAUUCUGCCCAUAGAAAUGGUUACUAUAGUUUUCAUGAACAGUGCAAUUACCAAUGUUUUUGAACAGAAUUUGUUUUUUAAUCGUCGCAUUUUCUUUACUCUCCUAACGUGUACGGUAGCAAAAUUCCAGCUCUCAAAAGCAACUUCUCUAAAACAAAAAUGUAAGUGACUUUCUCUACUUAUGUUUUUAAAACACUUAAAUAUGUAGGCCAAAAGCUGAACAAAUUAAAACGAAGUGCCAAUAGAGUAACACCAUUAGAUUUUAGAUUUAUAUAAAUUUUUCGUAGAGAUUUUUGAUGUUACCUUAUUUUUAAGUAAGUCUAAGGUUCGCCCGUCGCAUGUUAAAGCAGGAUUGUAGGUGUUGAAUGAGAAACACUUAUGCGCAACAUAGUAAGCUAUUUAGCUUCCACAGCUACAAAACUGCUAUUAGAUGCAACGGCAGGAACCCUGGAAUAGGCGUACAGCAAUUCGUCAGUAACGUGAAUGACUAAAAUAAACCUUGUUUCAAAUGUAAAGCAGUCAAUAUUUGCAGUAGAUAUUGUUUUUUAAAGCAAGAAUAGACGUAGUUUGUAAACAUUUUGAUGUAAUAUUUACUAGGUGUGUAUAAAUAAUCAAUUAUAUAUUUAAUAGAAUGCAAGAGAGUGAAAGUAGGUAUGGAAUAAAAUGUUUAAAUAAGUAGGUAGGUAGGGGGUUGUAUAUUUUAAAUUUCAGCUUUGUUAAACCCUAGAAUCAUUGCUUUAAUGUUUAUUAUGUAUAUUUUAUUAGUCUCGGUAAUUGUUUUAAUAUUUUACUAUUAUAUAGUAAUAUUUAUAUAUUUAAUUAGGUAUAUAAUGAAGGUUUUUCUGUAUUGCCAUAGCUUGUUUUUGAUGUAUUUUUAAUAGAGUAACCCUGGUCAGGAUUGCCAAUAACUUAUUUCUUAGUUUUGUCUCUCUCUUCAAGCAGGAUUUUAGCCAUUGUGGAAGCGAGAUAGCACUCUUUUCGUAGCUGCGUCUCUCUUCCACAACAGCAUUCUUACUUAAGAGGUGAUAAGUCGACAAGUAUGUAAUCUAGUACUAUAGUUUAAACUCUAGAGUUAAUGCCUAUUAAAUACCAAUUUUAUUGAAAUUAAAUUAAUCUCAUGUAUGUAAUUUCCCUGGAAGCCUAAUUUAUUACGGCUAUAUAGAAUAUUCGUUAGUAAAUAUAAGUGUUAAUGUAAGCAAAACAAUUAUUAUUUGUACCUGGAGCGUUUGAUACGAUUUGUAUCGGUUUUGGAAUAUAUUUGUGGAGUGUUAUGAAUAAAUGGGUUUUUUUAUAAAUGUAAA